GUUUGUGGAAACACCACGUAUAUUUAUUACUGCAAUUAUUUAUUAUUGCAGUAAUAAAUUUACGUGGUGUUUCCACAAACAAAAACAA